rnacentral:lncRNA from 1 species
GAUCAUCAGAGCCACUCUCCUUCUUUCAACCUGGUGAUAAUAUGUAUUUAUUCACAUGCCCUUUGACCACUUCCCCCUCUUCUGUCACUCUAAGCUCCCUGAGAAGAGGAUCUUCAAUUCAUUUAUGCCUCCCGGAGCUCCUGGAACAGCACUGCCUUACAGAUAGCAGUUGGGACUUGUGUUACGGUCUUCAAUGGAGGCUGAGGUCCAAGUCACAAGAAGUCCAAGGCACAAGAAGCUCAACUGCAAGUCCUGCCACACAGUGACAACAGCCACCAAUGUGCUGUCAAGAUUUGGAUCAAACACUCCAUGCCAGGCUCAUCAAGAAGCAGCUAGAUGGGGUCUGCCCCCUACACAUUCCCCUCCCAGUGGCCCCUCCCUAGCCCGUAUGGGUCCUCCUAGCACCCAGGCCAUGUGUGGUGAGGGGCUGACAUCUCAUCAAGGGAGAGGGGAUACUUUCCCUUCUUGGAUGCCACAUGUAAAGACUGGGGAACCAUAUGAAGGGAAACUACUUGGCUGGAGGUUUGCUGAGCUGUAGAAUCCACAGGCUCACCCUAUGCUGUCACCAAAAUUCAGCAUGAUGAGAGAGCUCUUGGACAGGUCAACCUGGGUCCUCGAGGGAGAGGGAACAUGGAUGUAAAGACUGGUGCCCACACAGGCCUAUACAGUUCUGAAGGCAGAGGCCCCCUGGAGUCGUUGGUACCAGUCAGACUUGAUGGGAUUGUGGGGCAGUGUCUCUGGGAAGAGGAGAGGGCAGCUCCAAC